CUGGAGGCAGCGGCUCCAACUAAGAUGGCGGCGGCGCUCUCUCUCGGAUGAGGAAACGGGUGAUGACUUCCCCAGCUGAAACACCUAUAAGAAGAAAUACCCUCCAGGACAGGCGGUGGCAUUAGGGAGACACCAACAGCAAAAGCUCAAUGGCAAUAAAAUAUUACUGGGAAGGACCCAGACGGUACAGUCAGACUGCCCUGGAUGGAACUUCUGACUCCUGCUCCUACAAAUGACCUUGGACAACUUAUGGAACUCUCUUUCCUCCCCUGUGAAAUGGGAUAACAGUACCUGUUUCCUCGAGUCGUGAGACUUAAAUGAAACAAUGCAAUUGAAGCGCCUCACAGAGCCUGGUAUACAGUAGGUCAAAACAUGGCAGUUUCUUUUCCCUCAGGAGCCUUCUGAGCUCCUAGCGUACUGCUGAGCACACAGUAGGAGCGCAGUAAACAUCCAGUGAUGAACUAAA